GUGAGCAGUAGAGCUGGAAAACUUGGCAGAAAACUCUUUUGUCUUUCCUGCUUGUAUCUAUGGAACCUGGUUUGCAAGGUCAAUAUUAAGAUAGUCUGAAGGAGGGAAGUAGUAGAAGACUUUCAACAAAAUUGUGAAAAAAUGAGCAGUGUCAGCCUGGUGCAGUGAUUGUCUCCAGGACUUGAACCCACUAAGACUUAAGGUCUGUUUCAAGCAUUCUGAGUAUGGUGCCAUGAGAGAUGCUGUUGUCCAUGAGAGGCUGGGAUUAUUAUGAUCAAGUGCUGUAUUUUGACUUCACCCUGGCUAAAAGAUUUGUGGAGUAAAGAGGAAGUGUUGGACUUUUAAGAGUUAAACAGUGGAAAGGACUGAUGCUGGGAUUCUCAAAAGAAGAGGAGGAAGUUGUGCACUGUGUCAGACCCCGAUAGAGGAUGGUAUAUGGA